CCCUUGUUGGUGUGACAGCGUGCCUUUUGAAGAAUGAGCCUGCGAGUUAGUGAUAUGUGGCGAGGUUAACCCGUGAGGGGCAGCCGUAGCGAAAGCGAGUCUUAAUAGGGCGUAUGAGUCGCAUGUUCUAGACCCGAAGCGAAGUGAUCUAUCCAUGGCCAGGUUGAAGCGACGGUAAGACGUCGUGGAGGACCGAACCCACUUCAGUUGAAAAUGGAGGGGAUGAGCUGUGGAUAGGGGUGAAAGGCCAAUCAAACUUCGUGAUAGCUGGUUCUCUCCGAAAUGCAUUUAGGUGCAGCGUUGCGUGUUUCUUGCCGGAGGUAGAGCUACUGGAUGGACGAUGGGCCCCAAAAGGUUACUGACUUCAGCCAAACUCCGAAUGCCGGUAAGUGAGAGCGCAGCAGUGAGACGGUGGGGGAUAAGCUUCAUCGUCGAGAGGGAAACAACCCAGACCACCAUCUAAGGUCCCUAAGCGCGUGCUAAGUGGGAAAGGAUGUGGAGUUGCAUAGACAACCAGGAGGUUGGCUUAGAAGCAGCCACCCUUGAAAGAGUGCGUAAUAGCUCACUGGUCAAGUGAUUCCGCGCCGACAAUGUCACGGGGCUCAAGCACGCCACCGAAGUUGUGGCAUUUAUAUUAUAGGCAGGCCUUCGUGGUCCAGCCGUAUGGAUGGGUAGGAGAGCGUCGUGUGGCCAGCGAAGCGGCGGUGUGAACCAGCCGUGGAGGCCACACGAGUGAGAAUGCAGGCAUGAGUAGCGAAAGACGGGUGAGAAACCCGUCCUCCGAAAGACCAAGGGUUCCAGGGCCAGGCUAAUCCGCCCUGGGUAAGUCGGGACCUAAGGCGAGGCCGACAGGCGUAGUCGAUGGACAACGGGUUGAUAUUCCCGUACCGAUGAAGAACCGCCCAAGACAAUCCAGUAAUGCUAAGUGUCUGAAUCCUUGAUUCGAUCCCUUCGGGGUGACGGUCUUGGCCUAGCACACGACCCUACGCUGGGGCGUUUAGCGUAUUAACAGGUGUGACGCAGGAAGGUAGCUGAGCCGGGC
rnacentral:rRNA from 1 species